rnacentral:lncRNA from 1 species
UUUGUAGAAGAAUGUUAACAACCACCUGGUGCCACCCUGCUGGUUAAACAAACAGAGCAUUGGGGGAAAAAAGCACAAAAUCUAGUGGUGCUUGUUUAACUUCCAUUUCUUUUUCCCAUUGACAUUGAAGCCUCCCUGCAGUCAACUUUGCUUUUAGCAGACAGAUUACACCAUUGUCCUUGAUUCCAGGGUGCUUUAUCAUGCAAGGGUAAUAGUGCAAGUCCACUGCUCCAGCCUACCCAAAACAAGAUCAGAGGGAACCUGGGGAAUCUUCAUUGUUUGGUUUUGUGUAACAGUAUCUGUAAGAACCUGCUUUUCCAUUCUGCAAUGGCUGUACCAAGGCUGUUGAAAUUCUGUCAAAAUGAAUAGAGACUACCUUGAAAAAGGUAAAAUUAUGUAGUGAAAGAA